rnacentral:rRNA from 1 species
ACCAGCGGCGAUAUAGCACGUUAAAACCACCAGUUCCCUAUAGCCAUAGAUGACUGAAGUUAAGCAACGUUGCGCGUGGUUAGUAUCCGGAUGGGUGACCAUUUGGACAAUCGCGUGCUGCUGGAU